rnacentral:tRNA from 2 species
GAGAAAGCAUGCAAGAACUGCUAAUUCAUGCCCCCAUAUCUAACAAUAUGGCUUUCCCA